UCCCGCGGGAGGAAGGAGAGCGGGGCCGGGGCCUGGUCCGGGGGAAGCCGGGGAGGCCCCGCUGGCGGCGGUGAAAAGCCUGGGGAGGGGGCUGGGAGAGGCUCGGCUUCCCUCGGGACGCCGCGGUCUGGAAGUGGGAAGCUGCGGGUUGCGUGUGUUUGACAGGUGUCACGGCUCGAGGUCUCGGUUGGUUUUUGAUCCUGGCCGAUUUUUAGAGAACAAAGCACAUCCCGGGAUCCGGCACGGUGUCAGAAUUUAACCAGGUGAAUGGAAAGAAAUGAGAGCAAUAGCACCGGCAGCGCAAUUCCUCUCUCCUGCUGCUGGGGGGGAACUGACAGGGUGACCAUGCAGUUCUCAGGGCUAGAGCAUCUCCCAAGUAGAGAAGGAUGCAGCAAUGAAGUGUCCCGGCUGUCGUUUGUGGCAACUGGGUGUGCCAUUCCUCUCCGAAGAGAAAGACCCUGGCCCUGUUAUUUGUCUGACAGCGUUUCUGUGAGCCUCAGCCCUCUGGAGAUGUGCCUGGAGCUGGUGCUGGACAUCCUGCCCUGCAGUGGGAGAGAGCCCUGGAGCCUGCAAGUCCACAGAGAUAAGUGUGGAGCAGGGUGCCACACAAAAACCGAGAUAAAGUGAUUUACUUAAGGAUAAGAAUGAGAAGACACCCCACCCCCUGAUUGCUUUAGCCCUGAAGUGCCGAUGGAGCUGCAAGUAAAGGAGCCUCUCAGGUGGGGCAAUGGUUAAUUCACUGAGAAAGCAGAAUAGCUUGCUCUAGAUUUAAUUCCCACAGUAGUCCUCUCUUACCUCUGUUGUAAACCUGAGGGCCUGCAUGCAGACGGGAAUGUUUCUGUUAGAAAUACUUCUGACAAUAAAU